UACGUAGGGGGCAAGCGUUGUUCGGAUUCACUGGGCGUAAAGCGUGCGUAGGCGGCUGCGCAAGUCGGUUGUGAAACCCCGGGGCUCAACCCCGGAACUGCAUCCGAUACUGCGUGGCUAGAGGUAGGUAGGGGAGAUCGGAAUUCCUGGUGUAGCGGUGAAAUGCGCAGAUAUCAGGAGGAACACCGGUGGCGAAGGCGGAUCUCUGGGCCUUACCUGACGCUCAGGCACGAAAGCUAGGGGAGCGAACAGG
rnacentral:rRNA from 1 species